rnacentral:rRNA from 1 species
AACAGGAUUAGAUACCCUGGUAGUCCACGCUGUAAACGAUGUCGACUUGGAGGUUGUUCCCUUGAGGAGUGGCUUCCGGAGCUAACGCGUUAAGUCGACCGCCUGGGGAGUACGGCCGCAAGGUUAAAACUCAAAUGAAUUGACGGGGGCCCGCACAAGCGGUGGAGCAUGUGGUUUAACUCGAUGCAACGCGAAGAACCUUACCUACUCUUGACAUCCAGAGAACUUAGCAGAGAUGCUUUGGUGCCUUCGGGAACUCUGAGACAGGUGCUGCAUGGCUGUCGUCAGCUCGUGUUGUGAAAUGUUGGGUUAAGUCCCGCAACGAGCGCAACCCUUAUCCCUUGUUGCCAGCGGUCCGGCCGGGAACUCAAAGGAGACUGCCAGUGAUAAACCGGAGGAAGGUGGGGAUGACGUCAAGUCAUCAUGGCCCUUACGAGUAGGGCUACACACGUGCUACAAUGGCAUAUACAAAGAGAAGCGACCUCGCGAGAGCAAGCGGACCUCAUAAAGUAUGUCGUAGUCCGGAUUGGAGUCUGCAACUCGACUCCAUGAAGUCGGAAUCGCUAGUAAUCGUGGAUCAGAAUGCCACGGUGAAUACGUUCCCGGGCCUUGUACACACCGCCCGUCACACCAUGGGAGUGGGUUGCAAAAGAAGUAGGUAGCUUAACCUUCGGGAGGGCGCUUACCACUUUGUGAUUCAUGACUGGGGUGAAGUCGUAACAAGGUAACC